ensembl:lncRNA
CUUUUUCCUCUCCUCAUAAGCUGCAUAUGGGAUUAAUAAUAACUCUGAAUCAGAUUUACUCUCUUAUUCUCUAAAAAAAAAAAAAGAAAAAGAGCAGAGCAGUGAAAAUGAGCAAAGGAAGCCCUUAUGAUGUGAGAUUGCCAUGUUUAGGGCGAAGCUGCUUUCUCACAUGGGCUGCCCCAGCACUGGGACCUCACAGUGGGGCUCUUCUGCUGCCCUCCUGAGCCCCAAAACCAAGCAUCAAGGCUACAUGGGGCUGAGCAGCAAUGCACGCAGCCCAUGGGAGGAGCCCCAGUCUGGGCAGGACCCGAGGAGGAAGGGGCUCCUUCGUGCAUUGCACGGCUCAUCAUUGGUGGCUCUUUAUCUGAGCAUGCCAGCGGAUGCAGAGCUCAGGGACACUUAAAUAAUGGGAAAAUUUAAUUCAAGAAACCCAAACGGUGUGCUGUGCCGUGUCUGACUGUUUACCUGCUAAUGUUUGCCAACUGCUAUCUCAUUAGCUGUACAGGAAGUAUAACUGAUAUUUCUGCAGAGAGAUGACACUUGUGCCUCUGCUGAAACUGGAAGGCUUUCUCAGUGCUUCAUAUCACUUCUGUUUGCCGCUUCCCAUAAGUGAUACUGCCUCAUUUUGGGAAGGAAUCCAAGAAAUAAGAGCUUACCAGAGAGGCCUCUUGGAAGUACGGGCAGCUUUAUGUUAGCCUGGGAGCUCCCUCGGACACAAAUCUUCUGCAGGAAAGAGCGGAUUCUACGCUGUUUGCAAAAGGGCCACAAAUGGGAAAUAAAAUGUUUGUGUAGCUCUUUAAUGUGAAAAACAUCCAUUUUAAAGCUCGGAUUCUGCGUCUGGGCUCAGUGAGGCUGAGCAGGCAGCAGCAUGAGGCCAACCUGGGGGAGACAGCAGCUGGGGUUGGGGGUGUCCAGCAGCCAGCAGCCCGUGUGUCUGCGCCCAGAACUGGUCCUGCUCUGCUCUCCCUUCCCAUAGCCACUCCAUGUCCCCACCAGCAGGCUGGGGUAGCCAUGCAAGAAAGAAGCAGGAUUCCCAUCGGCAGAAGGAAGCAAGGGUCAGGGGACAGCGCGCCUGGAGGAGCCAUUCUCAGUUGCUCCCAAGCUUGAGUUGAGCUGGUAUUUCUGUCUGCAGCAGGAGCUAUCCCCGCCGGACACGCUGCAAGCCUACAGGAAGGAAGAAUUUCUGUGACAGCAUUCUGGCGUCAUUUCUUGCCACAAAGCCCCAUCCCUUCUCUUCUGAGACCUGCAUGCAGUUCACACCUAACAAGACAUCCUUUCCCUGGGACUAAAUCUCUUGAAAUCUGAUCCACAAACACAUCUAAACAGUCGCGCUAACAGGUAACUCAGAGAUAUGGAAAUGUAAAUGAUUCUCCAAUCAAUAAAGAUAAUUACGGUGAGAGAUAGACUGACAUGCAGUAUCUCGAGGCUUUUCGCCUUGUCUCCUGAGCUCCCCAGUGGCACCACACACACUGGUGAAUGUAUUUCCAAGGCUGUGACUGUGGCUGGGGAGAAUUGUUUCCUGCAAGAGGAGCACGAGUGACACUGCCCCGCUAAUGAUGCGCGCUGCAGCUGGAGCCAAACUUCCCCAGCAUGACUCUGCUCUCUUCCUCCCUUUUAAAAGGUGACGUUAAUGUUGUCCUAUUAGCCUUGGGUUUCAGCAGACUGAACACGAACUGCUGUCAACUUCUGCACAAGUUGGAAGGAGAGAGGUUCAUCUCAUUUUUCCCCUCGGGUUGUUAGCUGUCAACAAACACCUUGUCUGCACACCUCUGGAAGGGCUGAUGGGGCAGAUCCCCACCAUUGAGUACUGAAGAUUUCCCAAGGAUUUGUGUACUUCCCAAUGUAGCCAGCUGCUAGGAUGUGUGUACAGCCGUGCAGAAAAGCCUCUGAUGGGAACAGUGGAGAGUUACCAAACCCCAACACCUUUGAAUCCUGAGUGUCUUGAGCUGCACAGCCCCUCCUGCCCCUUCUGCCUGCACCCCCAUCUCCCCACGAGCUCAGCAGUCUUCCAGCUCAACCUGUGCUUGUGGCUCCUGGCAUCCUUUGUGAAGAAAACCUCAUCUCCUGUCCAGCAUUUGGCUGGAUGGUCUUCACGGGUUAGAGGAACUUUUAAACAUUCUCAACAAAGUUCAUGUUGAUUGAACUGGUGAAAUAAUUCCUGGUGCAAGCUCUAAGAAGGACCUUUUAAACUUCCGUGCUUGAAGCUCUGUCCAUCGCACGAGGCACGACAGACACUUGCAAGGUCAUCUCCCUGUCUGCAUUCAGCUCCUUUAACAGACACGUCUGACAGCUUUGAUGCAACCCAAAACCCAGCGCCUAUCUUCCUCUAUGGCAUUAGUUUAAAUAUAUGUAUGUAUCUAUAGAUAUACUUGGAGAGGAAUGAAGCUGUGACUAUGGUGGCUAAGGUCAUGCCGUUCAGGGUGGCUGAGGUCACACCAUCUGACACAUGUCAGAUGAAAGCUCAGGCAAGAAUAUUCAGUGACCGCUCCGUGCAGUUUUUCAUCCAUGUGCAGAGGGAAUAGCCGCUCUCAGCAGCACCGGUCCAGGCCUCCCUGCCGGCGGGUCAGGGCAACGUGUGUUUCAAGUCAUACAUGGAAUAUCUAUUCACCUUUAACAAAUGCAGCGCGCAUGAAAGUGCCCGACUUUGCUCUCCCUUUCUUCCUGCUCACUGUUGGAUAUAAUGGAGGAAGAGAGGAGGUUGCUUCUACCCAUCCACGUUCUCCAUAUGGGAUGAGGGGUGCUCCCGAGGCUCGCUUGCCCUGAGCAUAGACCUUGCUGUACUGGGCCGGCCUCUGCUUCGCAGGUGCUGGGGUCGUCCUUGGUGAUGCACCGGGUGCUGAGCAGCGUGGUCCUGUCUUGCUCCCGGCUGCAGCACGGUCACUGCUCCGAUGUGCUCAUAGCACCACGAUAGCAACUGAUGGCACUGAGCCGCACCGCCGUGCGCACCAGGCUUGCACUAUUUCUGACUGCAAAGUACAGAUGGCUCCGGGGUGGCUUUUCUUGGCACCUCCCUGCGAAACCUAGAGAGGGCAUCUGCUGAGCACAACUGCUCCGACAGAGCCGAUUCCUCGCCCUCUCCCCCCGGGUGCUCCCAUCUGGAUAGCCCGCUGACCUCCCGUGCUGCGCCGCGCCGGGUUAAACUUGCUCGCUUUAGUUAUGUACUUCCAACAGCUUCAGGCAACAAAUGUAUUUCAUGCGCGGUCCUCCUGUACCUCUCCUUGAUGUUCUAAAGCAAUGAGAAAGAAGUGUUAAAUUUGUUCUUGGCUACUUUUCCUUGCAACUCCCAAAGGCACCGGUUACAAACUGAAUCAGUUAUCAGCUAGUUAGGCUGGCAGUUCCCGAAGGUACCGCAUGAAUACUGAUAGGGACCCAUGCAUUAUUCAGUGCGAAGAGCAGAGGAAAAUGAGCAACACGUCCAAAACAAGAACAGCAGUGGCAGUAAGGGAAUAAUUAGCGAGCUGUCACUUGUCCCUGUCAGUAUUCCCUCCCUUAACACAUGAGGGAAAAUAAU